UGGCGGCAGGCCUAACACAUGCAAGUCGAGCGGUAACAUUUCUAGCUUGCUAGGAGAUGACGAGCGGCGGACGGGUGAGUAACGCGUAGAAAUCUACCUAGUAGUGGGGGAUAGCCCAGAGAAAUUUGGAUUAAUACCGCAUACGCCCUACGGGGGAAAGCGGGGGAUCUUCGGACCUCGUGCUAUUAGAUGAGUCUGCGUCGGAUUAGCUUGUUGGUGAGGUAAUGGCUCACCAAGGCGACGAUCCGUAGCUGGUCUGAGAGGAUGACCAGCCACACUGGAACUGAGACACGGUCCAGACUCCUACGGGAGGCAGCAGUGGGGAAUAUUGCACAAUGGGCGCAAGCCUGAUGCAGCCAUGCCGCGUGUGUGAAGAAGGCCUUAGGGUUGUAAAGCACUUUCAGCAGUGAGGAAAGGGGUGUCGUUAAUAGCGCCAUCCUGUGACGUUAACUGCAGAAGAAGGACCGGCUAACUCCGUG
rnacentral:rRNA from 1 species